UUGAUUGCAAUUAUUGGAAGAUGACAGAUCCAUCUUUAAAAUGAUACCAGGUUCGGAAAAAUUGAUACGUCGGAAAGGCAAGAAAAAUGCUGUGAAAGUUGUCAGUUUUAUAAUGGGACCCUAUGGGAAUCGGAAUUAGUGUAAUAUAACCUUUAAAAAGCACAUUUACUGCAAUGUCAAGGUCACAUGGAUUCGUCUGCAAGCGAGACAAGUAGAAAAUGAAUUUUAAUGAAUGUUUUGAUGAUUUGGGUGCUAAAAUAGAUGAGAGAUGUCAAUAUUUUGGUCCAAAUGGAUGUUUUAUGUGGUUUUGGACUGUUCCGGAUGGGUGGGGGACCUGGUAUGGACAAGUAAGGGUAACAUUUCCAACAAAUCUUAAAUGUAAAUAUUAUUAUGUCCAUAGAUUGAAGUUUCAGGUGGAGAGCAAGAUGAAAAAUAUGCCAAAUUACAUGCAUGCAACCCAUUUAUGCCAUUUUUCUCUUUGUUUGUAGGCCUGACCGUUUGUCCUUGAGCCGUAGAUGGUCAACAAUCCGCUAGCUGUCUUGCUCUGACUGGUGCACUGGACAUGAUUUCAAUAGUCAGCCAGACCAUGAUUGAGCUUAAGGAUUGUGCUGCGGAUGCAGCCUGUGCAGUUCCGGGAGAAAGUCACUGUCUUGGGCAAUGCGGUCUGGUAUCAGGUCUGGAUGAUCCUUGCCUGACUGCGGGUUUGUGUACACCUCAAUCCGACUCUGUGUCCUGAACAGAGGCCGCAGUGGUGCAGCGCUUGUGGACGAUCCAUCAACAUCCUGAAAGGUCAACACUACACCAAGCUGGGAAAAUUGAUCCUGAUAGUCAUCCCCAGGUAGUGGAAUGAAUGUACACUGAACUACAGAGGAAUCACACCCAAAUGACUUUCCUGCCACGACAUUAGUGUGGCCACUCGCGUAGGAAUUCCUUAACCAACGUGCUCUUUUGCAUGGUGACUGUGGGCAUUUUUGCAAAACUUACGCUUUCAACACUGGAUUUUAAAGGGAAUACUUAAUAAAAUGUCGCUAACAGGACUUAUUUAUAUGAGAGAGACUAUCUGGAUGCGCAUUAAGUGUCACUUUGUGUCGUAAGCUGUUGAAGGAGCGAUUUGCGCCUUUUUAAGUGUUAAUUUUGGGUAGCCGGCUUGUAUCGGCUUGAAAGCUGCAAAUUAUGCCUCUCAUCAUAAUAGCAUUAAUUUUUGUAAAUGCAAUGUGUAUGUUUAGAUUGUAAGUGAAGCUUUUAAUAAUAAUUUUCUUAAAAAACAUGAUUUUAUAUGCUGUCAGUGAGUUUUUUAUUGAAAAAAGUGCUUAAAAUUUUAAAAAAGUCUCCUAUUUCAUCAA